UACAGAGGGUGCAAGCGUUGUUCGGAAUUAUUGGGCGUAAAGGGCGCGUAGGCGGUGCGGUAAGUCACCUGUGAAAUCUCCGGGCUCAACUCGGAGCCUGCAAGGGAAACUGCCGUGCUUGAGUGUGGGAGAGGUGAGUGGAAUUCCCGGUGUAGCGGUGAAAUGCGUAGAUAUCAUUUGGAACGCCGAAGGCGAAAGCAGCUCGCUGGGGGUCCGCCGACGCUG
rnacentral:rRNA from 1 species